rnacentral:tRNA from 1 species
GGCAGUGUAACCUAAUUGAUAAGGUAGCCAUCUCAUAAGUGGUUUAAUGCAGGUUUGAGUCCUGCCACUGCUACCA